UAGUUUUUUUAGAAAUAAAUUUAAUUUACAAAUUUUUGAUUUUUUGAUUAUUUAUUUAAUUGAAAAAUUUAUUUAUUUGAAUAUCUUAAGGGAUAAGCUUUAAGAUAAAUUAUUAAAAAUUAAUAUUGAUAGUAUAAAAUGUAUGCUUAGAAUUAGCAAUCAUUAUGAAAUUUGUUAUAAAUUAUUUUAUGGUAUAUAUUAUUUAUUAUGUUUUAAUUUAUUUAUAAAAAUUUUUUUAUUAAUAAAGGAUAAAAAGAAAUAAUGAUAGAAUUAGUAUAUAUUUUUGUUUAUGUAAUUUUGUAUGAUAAGUUUGUAUAAAGAACUCGGCAAAAAUUUUACCCGCCUGUUUAACAAAAACAUGUCUUUUUGAGUUAUUUUUAAAGUCUGACCUGCCCACUGAAGUUUAUUUAAAUGGCCGCAGUAUUCUAACUGUGCAAAGGUAGCAUAAUCAUUAGUCUUUUAAUUGAAG
rnacentral:rRNA from 1 species